GCAUUGGUGGUUCAGUGGCAGAAUUCUUGCCUCCCAUGCAGGAGACCAAGGCUCGAUUCCUGGCCAAUGCG